UACAGAGGGUGCAAGCGUUAAUCGGAAUUACUGGGCGUAAAGCGCACGUAGGUGGCGACGUAAGUCGGGUGUGAAAGCCCCGGGCUCAACCUGGGAAUUGCAUUCGAGACUGCAUUGCUGGAGUACGGAAGAGGAGGGCGGAAUUCCCGGUGUAGCGGUGAAAUGCGUAGAUAUCGGGAGGAACAUCAGUGGCGAAGGCGGGUCUCUGGACAGUUCCUGACGCUGAGGCACGAAGGUCAGGGGAGCAAACGGG
rnacentral:rRNA from 1 species